rnacentral:lncRNA from 1 species
ACAACCAAAAUCUAAUCUACACAUUCCCAUGGUUCAAACAAAUUUGAAACGGCCUUUCACAUAGCUCAAUUAUCAUAGGCUUAGGUUCAUAAUCACCCUUUAAUUAAUUAAUACUUUAACUAAUUAAAUUGAACGCAACAUUUUCAUUUGGUUUUUGUAUCCAUAAGAUUGAUUUAAAUGGAGCUAAAUGAAAUGAAAAUCCAAUUCUCAUUUAAAGAGACAAAACAAUUUUGUUCUCUACCUAAUUUGGGCCAAUAUGCAAUUACCACAACCUUUGGGCUAUAUUGCAAAAA